GACGUAGGGGGCCAGCGUUGUUCGGAAUUACUGGGCGUAAAGGGCUCGUAGGCGGCCAACUAAGUCAUACGUGAAAUCCCUCGGCUUAACCGGGGAACUGCGUCUGAUACUGGAUGGCUUGAGUUCGGGAGAGGGAUGCGGAAUUCCAGGUGUAGCGGUGAAAUGCGUAGAUAUCUGGAGGAACACCGGUGGCGAAGGCGGCAUCCUGGACCGAUACUGACGCUGAGGAGCGAAAGCCAGGGGAGCAAACGGG
rnacentral:rRNA from 1 species